rnacentral:rRNA from 1 species
UGUUUCGGCUAGGGGGCCAUCCCGGCUUACCAACCCGAUGCAAACUGCGAAUACCGGAGAAUGUUAUCACGGGAGACACACGGCGGGUGCUAACGUCCGUCGUGAAGAGGGAAACAACCCAGACCGCCAGCUAAGGUCCCAAAGUCAUGGUUAAGUGGGAAACGAUGUGGGAAGGCCCAGACAGCCAGGAUGUUGGCUUAGAAGCAGCCAUCAUUUAAAGAAAGCGUAAUAGCUCACUGGUCGAGUCGGCCUGCGCGGAAGAUGUAACGGGGCUAAACCAUGCACCGAAGCUGCGGCAGCGACGCUUAUGCGUUGUUGGGUAGGGGAGCGUUCUGUAAGCCUGCGAAGGUGGCCUGUGAGGGUUGCUGGAGGUAUCAGAAGUGCGAAUGCUGACAUAAGUAACGAUAAAGCGGGUGAAAAGCCCGCUCGCCGGAAGACCAAGGGUUCCUGUCCAACGUUAAUCGGGGCAGGGUGAGUCGACCCCUAAGGCGAGGCCGAAAGGCGUAGUCGAUGGGAAACAGGUUAAUAUUCC